GGCUCAGGAUGAACGCUAGCGGCAGGCUUAACACAUGCAAGUCGAGGGGCAGCAUGAGACGGAGAUUCGUCAAAGUCUUGAUGGCGACCGGCGCAAGGGUGCGUAACGCGUGAGCAACUUGCCCGUUUCUGGGGAAUAACCGGUGGAAACGCCGACUAAUACCCCAUAGUAUUGACUUUGGGCAUCCUUAGUCAAUUAAAGAAUUUCGGAAACGGAUAGGCUCGCGUGACAUUAGCUAGAUGGCGGGGUAACGGCCCACCAUGGCAACGAUGUCUAGGGGUUCUGAGAGGAAGGUCCCCCACACUGGAACUGAGACACGGUCCAGACUCCUACGGGAGGCAGCAGUGAGGAAUAUUGGUCAAUGGUCUAACGACUGGACCAGCCAUGCCGCGUGAAGGUCACGGCCCUAUGGGUCUUAAACUUCUUUUGUAAGGGAGCAAUAAGCUUUACGUGUAGAGUGAUGAGAGUACCUUACGAAUAAGCAUCGGCUAACUCCGUG
rnacentral:rRNA from 1 species